AAAUUAUUUAGAACUCGCAAAACCCACAAUCAUAUUGUAUACUUUUCACAUAUGAAAUGUUUUCUCGACGACAUGUCACACAGUUAUAGCAAAUGGUGAACAGAGAGAGAGAGAUUGUUUACAGUGAUCGAGUCACAGUAACAACUACUUGGUAAAAUACCAAACACGCAAAUCACAAAGAUAGAGAACAUAUCAAAUCCAAACGCAACACUUGAGUAGACUGACGACACUACUUAAUAUGCAGUAGAUAACAUUGAGAGGAGUCCAUCCUGAACUCUACACACCAACAACACUUGGAACACAUUCGAUUCUGCCUCAGUUUUCCGAGCUGUAGGAGGCCUCGCCAGAUGAUGAACUCUCUAGCUGAAGCAGCUUCAUCUCCUCAUAUGCCCAUUCAAGACCAGGACAAUAGUGAAGUGGUGGAUUGAACCUGGUGUCAGAGAUGUCAUCUGGCAAAAAUGCACCAUUUCUAAUCAAGAAUUUAAUCGCUUUCUUCUUUUUCUCUUUCGCAGCAUGAUGGAGAGGAGUCCAUGCACAUGCACCCUUGGCUCGAGCAUCGAUAUCAGCACCCCUCUCAAGUAAUUCAUCCAUAACUCUCACGUGACCUCCCUUAGCAGCAAGAUGAAGUGGGGUCAUACCAAAUGAUUUUGGGCCUCCUGCCAUCACAUUUGCAUCCAUACCUUCAUUAAGAAGCCUUCUAACCUGUUUCAGGUCACCUUUCCGAGCAACAAUGUGAAGUGGAGUCCAACCGCGAUCAUCCGUAUCACCUGCAGUUAUACGCAUUCUUCUCGAUCGUCGAGUCGAACCAACCUGAUCCUCCUCCAUUUUCCUCUUCUCCGCUUUCCUAAUAAGCAAAGCUCCAAAAUCCAAUCCUUAUUGCCACAAAUUGAAACAAAUACUCAAUCCAAUUCUAUUCUUUCUUGUAGACUUAUUUCGUUAACAGUCAAUCCAAGAGGCUCAAGCUUUCUUUCUAACUUUUCAUUCUCAAUAACCCGAUCACUUAUGAUAUUACUCUGCUCUUCUUGUAUUCUCUGCUCUCUGGCUGCCUCUUGUUGAGCUCUUUUCUCACGUCUCUUCACGCUCUUGCUGGGUUUUGAAUGGUCAGUUUGACUACUGACAGAAACCCCAGCAAUGGCCUUCACCAAUGUAUCCAGAUUCCCUUUAUCCUUUCCAUUAUCAUUAUUACUAUCAUCACUGUAGCCUAAAGAAGCAAGUUCCCCAGCAUGUCCUUCUUUGAGCUUUGCAGAAAGUUUAGAUACUUCUUCGUCCACUUGUUUUUUCUUAGCUUUCUGUUCAGCUUUGCUUCCUUUAGCUGCUGCCUUUUUCAUAGCAAUUUCUUUGUCCUGUAGCUUAGAAAUUUCUUUCCUAUGCCUAGAAAGCAUCUCCUCGCGGGUUUCUAGCAUCUUCUGAGGCGCACUUUCUGAUGCUCCCUCAGGCAACUGAUCUUCUGCUUUAGGUGUAUCCUCCAUUUCAAAACUCGGAGACAGAUCCGUCUUCCACCGAUCCAAAAUUUUGGACUUCGCCGGAGCUCGAUUGGCCGGAGCUGUUUUGAGCAGUUGCUGCUGCUGUUGAUAUUGAGCUCACUGGAGUUGCUGCUACUGCCUGUUGGAGCUAUUGUUUGCAGGUUUUCACUGAUGGCGCCUUACCGAAGUUGCUGCUUCGCGGUGGUCCUCGACGGUCGCUGCUGCUGGUGGGGUUCGCCGGAAAAGAGAAGAGAGAAAAUAGCGUUUUCCGGCUCUCGCUGGCUGCUGGCGGUUGUCUCCGGUUGCAGCGCUGCCCUCUCUCACUGGUCGCUGCUGGUCGGAGCUGCGUGGCAGCUCGCUGGAGUGGAGAAGAGGAAGAGAAGAGCGAGGUGGAGGCAAGGAGGAGGAGUGGCGGCUGGGAACCGAGGGUGGAG
rnacentral:misc_RNA from 1 species